CCUGUGUUUGAUAUGCCAAGCAUCUGAGGGAUCCAUACGUCGCAAUGAGGAAGAACCUGCUCGAUUUAUGCUUGUCAAAAAGGACUGGUACUUCUUUACACUCUGGACAAAGUCACAGGUAUGAGAUUAUGUUUGAGAUAUUUUUCAGCAGAAAGCAACCAGACUUGUACCAAACUGUGGCAUCUACAUGAAUUCCAGCUCUGUUCAUGUUUCUCAUGCUGAAGGAACGAGAUUUACAUGUUUCAAUGGCACUCUUCUCCAAGGUUGCAUAACUCAACAUAGCAAUAUAAACACAUGUCAGUGAAGGGUUCUCUUCAUAUUUGCCUUCUCUCAUAUGCUUUUCAGCUGCAUUUACUCCAUGCUCGACAUGGACCAGAAGUGAUGACACCUUUGGUGAUGGACCACUAUAGUCAAGCAACUUGGAGGUGAUUGGGACUGCUCAACUGAAGAGGAACAUGGAGGGUUACCUUACAUCAAUCCAGCUCCAACUCAAGGAAGGAUACAUCACAUACAGUUGGAAAGAGAACCUGAAUAAGUUCUGACCUGGGAAGGUGCAACAUCAAGAGAGAAGAGGAGGAAAGACAAAAAGAAAGAGAAAAUAGGUGAAAAAGAAUAAGGUUCUAAGGCUAGUACCAGUACUUGUAUCAAAAUAUUACUAAAGCGAUAUGGUAUGGUACAAUAUGAUUCAUCUUUUUUUUUUUCUAAUAUGAUACAUCUUGAGAGGCCAAUGAAAGAAUACUAAAAAUUAUCUAAUAUGUUGAGGCUGAUGGGGUUCUAAUACAAUUGGUACUUCGAUAAGCUAUCAGGGAUGUACAGUAUGGUCACCAUUGUCAAUACAGCAUGGUAUUUCAAAUGAUUAGAGAGAAUAAUGUGAGAUAUGAAAUUGAUAUGGCCAACCAUUUUUCUUCUCCGACAUAUAGUAACUUUUUUUGCCUGACAUGCUCAGUCAGAUAUGUUCUCCCUCUUAUCUGAUACCUCCUUAAACGAAACUAUUUUAGUUAAAUUAACUUAUUUAAAUUAGUUAAAUUGCAUAUACACUUGGAUAUUGAUCUGAUCUUUCUCAAUCAGACAAACUGACUUCGACUGUGAAGAUCAUAUCCAAGUUAAAUUAGAUGUUUUCCAACCCAUCACAGAAUGCAUACAAGACCCUACACUGAAAACAUCAUUAAUUCAGCCCAUCUAUGCUUGCUAUCCAUUGACAUUCAAAUCAUUAACCCACAGAAAACAUUAAGCUACCUUAGCAAUCACAACCACACGAUUGGCUCUAAUUGCUAUAUCCUGUGCUGCAAGAACAUGGACACAGGAUUUCAACUAAGACACAUAUUCAAGUGUUAACAUGGAAAUAGUAAGGAGAUGUGGGACAAGCAGAAAUUACUUUUGUAUUACCAUAUGCAAGCAUGAGUCUAAUAAGUGAAUUUUUUGGAAGCCUCAAAACCCAAAAGAUUCACUUAUCACAUCAUGGAGCUGGGUUUUAGGCGAAUAAUUUUAGUCAAUAAUCAAAACACAUAGUCAAUAGGUUGACAUAUAUUGGUCAUAUGGGUGCAUGUGCCAUGAUUUAUGAAGUUGGACAUUAGAGUUCACAUGUCAGUGAUCAUAUUUGCAAUCAAGAACAUACGUAAUGAAUAAAAAAAUUAACCAGGGAAUCUUAGGCUAAGUACUUGUGGCUGCUUAUUUUGGAUAAAAGUCAUCUCCAAGUACAUUUAGAAUUAAGGAAACACCUCUUGUUUCAUAUAAUCUUGUGAUCUGGUCCACUCUUACACAAGCCCCCAAUGCUUCAAGAAGGUAAUCAAUCAUCUUUUCACAGACUGGCUUUAUUCAACAUAAUGAUCUUUUUGAUGGAUGGAAUGUAUAUUUUUUAUUAGUUCAACCAUUGUAACUCGUGUAAUGC